rnacentral:rRNA from 1 species
CAUCUCCUUAAUCGGAGAGUUCCCUUCGGGGACAUUGGUGACAGGUGGUGCAUGGUUGUCGUCAGCUCGUGUCGUGAGAUGUUGGGUUAAGUCCCGCAACGAGCGCAACCCUUGUCUUUAGUUGCCAUCAUUAAGUUGGGCACUCUAGAGAGACUGCCAGGGAUAACCUGGAGGAAGGUGGGGAUGACGUCAAAUCAUCAUGCCCCUUAUGCUUAGGGCUACACACGUGCUACAAUGGGUAGUACAGAGGGUUGCCAAGCCGUAAGGUGGAGCUAAUCCCUUAAAGCUACUCUCAGUUCGGAUUGUAGGCUGAAACUCGCCUACAUGAAGCUGGAGUUACUAGUAAUCGCAGAUCAGAAUGCUGCGGUGAAUGCGUUCCCGGGUCUUGUACACACCGCCCGUCACACCACGGGAGUUGGAGACGCCCGAAGCCGAUUAUCUAACCUUUUGGAAGAAGUCGUCGAAGGGGGAAUCAAUAACUGGGGUGAAGUCGUAACAAGGUAGCCGUAUCGGAAGGUGCGGCUGGAUCACCUCCUUUCUAAGGA